GGGCGGCGCUCCGAGGGAACCCUUCCGGGGGCGAAGAGCCGGAGUUUGCUCGGGGGCGGAGGCCGCGGGCCGCCCUCGUCUGCCCCUGGGCCGUUUUUAUGCCCCGGUAUGCCCCUUCACGCCGCUCCCUGCCGAGGCUGGAAGCGGCAGCGGUUUACCAACCAGACGCAGCUGUAAAGUUCUGCACGUGUUAUGUGUUGGUUUGCUUAAGGCAACGCACGGCUUGCUGUACACAGAUGCAUGUUCUGCCCCUAAGAGAUGAUGAAGAUGGAAGUUCGUGGCUUGCUCCUUGCUUCUCAGAUAUGGACAGGUGACAACCUACAAGCCACGUGAGCGAUCCUGGUGUCCUGCAGCCACCUCGCCACUCUCUACCAAUAGUCCAAGUGUGGGGGACACAGGAGUGUCUUGGUGAUGGGAUGACAGCCUUGCUGCAUGUCAGGCUCCUGAAGCCGGUGAAGGAGAAACAGCAGUCUGAGGUGAAACAACAUUCAACAAAACCUCAUCAAAUGCUUUCAGAGGUCUCUGAAAAAAUUACUGUUGUGCUUAAAAAUUGAAUAUUAUCUACUAAACUUUAUUUUCGUUUGAAACCUGACUGUCCCAUCCUCCCCGUUUUCAUCUAAGAAUGAAAAUGACACGUUACAUUAAAGGUACUGCUACCUCUCUAUAAGUAAUUACUCUAAAAAUAUAGCAGUUCUUACAUGCACAUCGCUGUGAUUGCAGUAUUUGGCCAGGGAUGAAAACAAUCAUCUGAUUACUUGCAUACUUACAGUGUUAUGCAGAAGUCUGAUGGAUUAAAGGAUUUUCUGAGGCCAAAACUAAUAUCCGUAUUCUCUCGUUCUUUGUUUUUAAAUUAAGUUUUGCUUUUGUUUUUUUUUUAAAGCAUCUGAGGAGUGAAACUGUCCAUGGCUUUAGAAAGAUUUUCCUCAAAUCAUUUGAGUGCGUACUUUUUAAUUGUCAGCCAAUCUCAUCUAGAGAUAAAAUCUGUGAAGAUUUGAUAGGAUUUAAGCGGUCUGCCUGUUUUAGGCAGAUUCUUAUUAUGAUUGAAAGAAACGAGGAAAAGAAUGAUGAUAUUCCCAUUUCUAAAACAGUCUUUGCUCUUACUGUGUUUGUUGUUUAUACCCAUUCCAGCCUUAGUACACUGAAUUAAGGUUAAGCUACCUUAAAGCAGAGAAUGUAAGGACUUUGUCAUCAGUUACGCAAAAGUGUAUAUGAAAGUGAAGUAUUUCCCUUUGAUACAGAACACGGAAGUGGAGCAUCUGAAAAAUAAGAAUUGUAAUUAAAAUUCAUACACAUCUUCCUUUUUUCAAAGCAUCUCCUCUCAGCACUGACAUACUGACAGCCCGAAACACUUAUCUGUAAUGUUCUUUUAGACUCUUUCCAGUAAUGCAUUGAGUACUGUCACCAUUUGGCAAAUUACUCACUGGUGUUUCAGUGUGCCAUUGCUGUUGCUUUUCACUUGGGAUUAUUAAAAAGCUCCUAUAGCUGAUCUACAAGGGCAAAAUCGAGACAUUCUGGAUACAAGGGCUAUUUUUUCAGUCCAGUUGAGGAGGAUGAUUUGUAGCAACUGUGCAUAUGGCACUAAUUAAUGGGAUUUGAGUAGACUUUGGCAUAGCUUCCUGCCUAAAGAAGAAGAAAAGAGGUAACAACAGAUUUGCUGUGUGCCUUUCACUGCUUCUUAUGGAAUGUUAUAUGUACUCCUGAAGUUUUUAUUUUCAAUCAUAGUCACAUAGUCAUUUCUGCAGUAAUUUUAUCAGAUGGAUAGGACGUUCAAGCAACUUUUGAAAAUUCCUUGUGCUCUGCAUUAUGAAGUCUGUUAGUCAUACUUGGCACAGACUACAAAUCUGAGCCUGAUUUUCAGGCUUUCAAAGGGCCAAAAUAAAAUUAUUGUUCUCUAAUACAUUUUUUCUUCACAUUUAUUCGAGUGUGCAUUAGCUGUACAUCCAACAAAAUUGCAUUUUACUCCUUCGUUUUAGGCUUAAGUAGCAGUCGCAGGAGAUUAAAUGCAGUUAAGCAUAACGAAGCGUGAGGAUGACAAGAAAAAUGAAGCAGAGGUGCCUUAUCUCCCAAUUCAUCGCAGUACAAAUUUUAUAUUCCAGACACAAAUGCCACUUUGGGAUUGAAAUCGUACUACGUGAAUCCGUGUGAUUUUGGCAGCUGUCUGAUGGGAAUGAAAUGCUGGCAGGCUUUCAAAAGCCUGAAGAAUAGGAAUCAGGCAGUGAGCCUACAUGAGCCUUUAAAAGAAGAUAUUUACAAAGUCUUUAUUAUAAAAAAUGAAAAAAAAUAAAGUUAUCUAAAGGUGUCAUCUGUGUCAGCCUCUAUGGAUUUAGUUCCCCUCCUUUGUUACACAAAGACAAUAUUGAUUCAAAAUUCAUUAGCAGUGUUUCAUUAAUGCCAGCGGAGGGCAGACUUGAACUGGAAACUCUUUUUGCUGCUUGGAUUUCUUGAACUUAAAAUACAGGACAGUCCCUUAAGCUCAGAGCUGAUGGCAAUCUCAUCACUUCUCCACGAUUCUAAUUACUCUUGUGCUGGAUAA
ensembl:lncRNA